rnacentral:snRNA from 1 species
GAUUGCUGUACAUCAUUAUAAUUAUCCGAUAAAAUUGGAACGAUACAGAGAAGAUUAGCAUGGCCCCUGCGCAAGGAUGACACGCACAAAUUGAGAUAAUGCUU